AAAAGAAAAUUAAUUCAAAAUAAAUGUAAAUAUGAAUUAAUGCAGUAAUGUUGAUGUAAAAAAAAGUUACAUGUGCUUUUUAUGUUUUUUAACGAUGAAAUUAUCCUCGAUUAACUUAUUUUUAGGUUAAUCAUGAUAAUGUUUUAUUAGAAAGAUGUUUAGUUAUCGAAUAAUAUUUUAUAAGAAAGAAAGAACUCUUCGUUUUAUUAGACCUCAUGUGCCAUGGUUAUGUGAAUCAUUUACUAAACAAUUUUAUCUUAAUAAAAUAAAGCAAUAUCAUAGUACAAAAAAUGAUAAAAAAAGAAAACUAAUCACUUGUGUAGCUAAGGUAAAUACAAACAAAAGAGAUA